UGUGGCGCAAUUUGGUCAGCGCAUUCGGCUGUUAACCGAAAGGUUGGUGGUUCAAGCCCAAGCCCACCCA
rnacentral:tRNA from 1 species